rnacentral:lncRNA from 1 species
GAGAAUGCAGUAUCUUAAAUACCUGAAUUCUUGUACUUGGUGCAUUUCCUGCUGGAUACCUGCUACCUAUAUGCAGGUAACGGUGAGGAGCACAGGUUUUAGUUGACCUGUUAAUUUUGACCCUGUAGCAUGUGGAAAACAGAUUCAGAGGUACUGGGCCAACAUCCUUUUUCUGUCAUAUUGAAGUUACGUGAGUAAGCUGGCUCUCGUGUUCUUUUUUUACUAGAGAGUGUUUGGAAUCUGUAGCAUGUCUGCACAUCUAGUUCUGUUUUGUUUGUGGAUUGACUCCACUAUAGGCUACUGUUCUCUGUCUAUCAUUUUAUAAUUUUAACUUCCCAAUGUAUUACAAUGAUGGCUCCAGUCUGCUCUUGUGUACUGAUUGACAUCCAGAGAUUCCAGCUAUGAUUGAGGUAAGAAGGACUUAACUUUAGCUGUAGGAUUUUUCUAGUAUUUUUCUUUUCUCUGUCAAUUUGUCUUUUCUGUAUUUUUUGUUUGUUUGUCUUCCUUUCUGGCAUUUAUUCUUGCUUUUUAAACUUUUAUCUUUCUAUGCUUUUUCUUCCAAAUGGGAAAGUGGGUGCACUAGAGUGCUUAUCUUUCAUUGCUGCUUUAGCUGAAAAUGAGAGUGCCUUUUGAUCUGGCUUUAAUGGCCUGGUGGUGGAUUAAUCUCAGUAUUUAGUUCCUAAAUACUUCUGUUGCUG